rnacentral:tRNA from 1 species
GCCUUCGUGGUGUAAUGGUCAGCACACUGCGCCGUAUUUCAGAGGUCCGUGGUUCGAUUCCCGGCGAAGGAA